CAGAGCAAAGACUCCGUCUCACAAAAAAAAAAAAAAAAAAAGAAGGUAGGCACAUAGAAUAAAUAAAACCAGAUUUCAAACAAUGUUUCAUUCUUGCCCAUUGCUCAUGUUCCCUGUUAGGAAUCAAGGGUAAGAGGAGUGUGGUAUGUUCACAUUCCUUUCUGAGGUAAAUGUCUGUAUCUCCAUUUACAGGCAUGGAAACGGAGGCCUAGAGAAGAGAAAUAACUUGCCUACGUUCCCACAGGAAGUGCAUGAUGGCGCUGGGGCUGGCAUUCAAGUCCAUCUGCCUCCAAAGCCCAGGCUCAGCCCCUGCUGCAUUUGUGGCGUCUUUUCGAGACAAAGGAGUAAAACAACCUUAACUGAGGCUUCUUCCCAGGAAGACACUUGUUAUGGAAGUGAUCUUCAGCCCACAUGGAGCACCCCGUAGGGAAGUGAUGAGUCGUGGCAUAGAUAGCUGUUUAGUGGGUCUUCCUGAUCGUGAGGGUUUUCUGUUCCAUUCUUCCUUGGCUGCCGGAAAGAAGACAAAUGCUUGGUCAGACCAUUACCCGCUGUGAGGCAUCCGUUGCAGUGCUGUGAAGGUCAGUGAUUCACUUUCUGCCUCUACACGCUUCACAUGGGCAAUUCCAGUCGUGUGUCAUUUACAGUCAUGAUUCUCAGCUGCAGAGAGGAAGUUACACCAUCUCGAGGCAGAGGCUAUAGGACGCGGAGGGGCGAGCCAUCCCAAACACGUCUGGUGUGUCGACCUGGGUGAGAAUUCUUGGCCACAACUUCAGAUUAGAUCCCAAAUAUGCCACUUUCUACCUACCUAUGGUGACUCUGGGUGCUCUAGUUUGGUUGGUUUGACUCCUGCAAACCUCAUGCUGAAAUUUGGUCCCCAGUGUUGAAGGUGGGUCUAAUAAGAGGUGUUUGGGUCAUGUGCGGGCGGAUCCCUCAUGAAUAGCUUGGUGGUGUCUUUGUGGUAAUGAGUGAGUUCUCACUCUGAGUUCCUGUGAGAGUUGGUUGUUAUAAAGAGCUUGGCACCUCCCUGCCCUCUCUUUGCCUCCUCUCUUUCCUUACGGUCUCUGCACACACAGGCUCAUCUUCCCCUCUCCCGUGAGUGGAGGCAGCCACAAGUCCUCUCCAGAAGCAGAUAUUGGUGCCAUGCUUGUACAGCCUGCAGAACCAUGAGCCAAAUUAACCUCUUUUCUUUAUACAUCACCCAGCCUCGGGUAUUCCUUUACAGCAACGCAAAUAGACUCAGACACCGGAGAAGCCAUUUCAACUCUCUAAGCCUCUGUUUGUAAAAUGAGGAAUAUGACUCUCUGCAGUUGAGAUGAGGAUUAGAAAUGAAAAUGAAGCACCCACUAAAAGGCCUGGUACAAGCAAGGGCAAAUGGUAAUAAUGAGGUCUAGACAGAUUACAAACUGAGUCAUACCCCCUAUUUUCUGUAUCUCAGGGUCAGUUACUCCCUGGGUCUCAGUUUAUACUCUGUAAUACAAGGAUGAGAACAAUAGGCACUGCUGUGGGUUGAAUUGUGUCCUGUGAAAGAAUACGUUAAAGGCCUAACUCCAGAUGUCUGUGCUGUGUCCUGUUGGGAACUAGGGUCUUUGCAGAUGUAGUUAAGUUAGGAUAAGGACAUAGUGCAUUAGGAUGAGUUUGGAUCUAGUGACUGGUGUCCUUAUAAGAAAAGGGAAAUUGAGAGAAGAGAGAAGAUGGAGGGAAGAACAAAAGCAGAGGUUGGGGUGAUGCAUUUAUAAGCCAAGGAGCACCAAGGAUUGCUGGUGGCCACCAGAAGCCGGAGAUAGGCAAGGGGCAGAUUCUUCCUCAGAGCCUUCAAAAAAAAAAAAAAAAAAAAAAAAAA